rnacentral:rRNA from 1 species
AGCAGCCGCGGUAAUUCCAGCUCCAAUAGCGUAUAUUAAAGUUGUUGCAGUUAAAAAGCUCGUAGUUGAAUUUCGGGAUUAGUAAGUUGGUCGUGCCUCCGGUAUGUACUGGCUCUACUGGUUCCUCCUUCUUGAAGAACUGUAAUGUCAUUAAUUUGGUGUUGCAGGGAAACAGGACUGUUACUUUGAAAAAAUUAGAGUGUUUAAAGCAGGCUAACGCUUGAAUACAUUAGCAUGGAAUAAUGAAAUAGGACGUUUGAUCCUAUUUUGUUGGUUUCUAGGAUUGACGUAAUGAUUAAUAGGGAUAGUUGGGGGCAUUAGUAUUCAAUUGUCAGAGGUGAAAUUCUUGGAUUUAUUGAAGACUAACUACUGCGAAAGCAUUUGCCAAGGAUGUUUUCAUUAAUCAAGAACGAAAGUUAGGGGAUCGAAGACGAUCAGAUACCGUCGUAGUCUUAACCAUAAACUAUGCCGACUAGGGAUCGGAUGAUGUUAAUUUUUUAAUGACUCAUUCGGCGCCUUACG